rnacentral:rRNA from 1 species
AGAGUUUGAUCCUGGCUCAGGAUGAACGCUAGCGGCAGGCUUAACACAUGCAAGUCGAGGGGCAGCGCGGGUAGCAAUACCUGGCGGCGACCGGCGGAAGGGUGCAUAACGCGUGAGCAACCUGCCCGUAUCAGGGGGAUAAGCGAUGGAAACGCCGUCUAAUACCCCAUAACAGCAGAGGCUGCAUGGCUUUUGUUUGAAAGAUUCGUCGGAUACGGAUGGGCUCGCGAGACAUUAGCUAGUUGGAGUGGUAACGGCACACCAAGGCGACGAUGUCUAGGGGUUCUGAGAGGAAGGUCCCCCACAUUGGAACUGAGACACGGUCCAAACUCCUACGGGAGGCAGCAGUGAGGAAUAUUGGUCAAUGGCCGCAAGGCUGAACCAGCCAUGCCGCGUGCAGGAAUAAGGCCCUAUGGGUCGUAAACUGCUUUUGUGGUGGAGCAAUAAGACGUACGCGUACGUCGAUGAGAGUACAUCACGAAUAAGCAUCGGCUAACUCCGUGCCAGCAGCCGCGGU